rnacentral:rRNA from 1 species
UACGUAGGAUCCAAGCGUUGUCCGGAUUUACUGGGUGUAAAGGGUGCGCAGGCUGACUGGUAAGUCAGAGGUGAAAUCUCGUCGCUUAACGACGAAACUGCCUUUGAUACUAUCAGUCUUGAGUCCGGUAGAGAUCUGUGGAAUUCCGAGUGUAGCAGUGAAAUGUGUAGAUAUUCGGAAGAACACCAGUGGCGAAGGCAGCAGAUUGGGCCGGUACUGACGCUCAGGCACGAAAGCGGCGGGAUCAAACAGG